CCAAGUGCUCUUCUAUUUGGUCCAUAUUCGUUCUUCUAAAUCUUCCGUGAUUUCUGCCGGUAUUAUGGGGCAUGAAACCGGAAAUGCAGCUCCAGAAGGGAUGUAGAGCAGACCAAUCACAGCCUUGCGGGCUGAGUGAGCUUGCGGAGCUUUGCCGUAAAUUUUAGAAAAGGGGGUCGACACCCGUCAGCACGUAAGGAGGGAUACAUAAGCACGUAAGGGACCCGGAAGGGCUCUUGCGCUUACGGGCCCGUGAAAACGCAGAAGCAUGUUUCAGGCUUUAGACUGGGUUGUGAGAAAUUGGGUUGUUAAUGAAUAAAGAUGUCUCUAAUUUGGUCCAAAGUGAAACAAAUGAUUGAGAAUGAAGCAAACAUACAUAUUUUGACCAUAUCUGGCCAUUAACAACCACUUACAACAGAUUGGACAGAUUUGAUCCAACUUGGACCUCAAUGGGGUCUGAGAUAGUACACCUGAGAUAGCCUGUGUUUGUAGCAAGAUGAAAUGUAAACUUUGUCGUAGAACAAAAGCAAAGACAUCAUCGUAAAUGUCUUGACCUCGGGAGUAACAUAUCAGUGGAAAAAUUGUGGAUGGCUCCUGCUCCUCAGGGAUGACCUUUGAACCUUGCACCUGAGUCAGUUUUGAUGGCUUGCAGGAUGGAAACUAAAUGUGCAACAGACAUGGUAUGACCUUUUUUGGAAAGGUCUUGAACCCCACUACCAUAGCCCAAUGCAAAACUAUGGGGGGUGCCACUGAGUAGGGCCAAACCUUGAAAAAAAUAGAUCUCACAUAAUAGUGAAAUCACAGUAGAACUACAAAAGAUGGGAACAACACACACACACACAAGUACUGGAACGCCAUUAAAUUUGUAGUUCUCUGUAUGGUUAUUCCUGGUUGAGAAUAGGGUGGUGAAAAUAGGGUUUAGAAAACAUAUUAGCGGUUUGUUUUUAUAAUCAUGAAUGAAAAUAUUUAAACUGAAACCCACAUAUCUCGACAUAGAUAUCAUCAAAACACAUUUUUAUUGAGAAACAUUGCUAAAAUAUAGCAUUUUCCACAUGAAAUACUGCAAUCUCCGCCAUCUUGCUUUAUCAGCUGCGGAGGUCUGCAGGCACAGAUUAUAUGUUGUGAUUUUCUGGAUUUUUUAAUUUGAAUUUCUGUCCCUCACUUUUAAAAUUAACCUACUACAAUUAUAGGCCGAUUAUUUCUUUGUCAGUGGGCACACUUACAAAAUCGGCAAGGGAUCAAAUACUUAUUUCCUUCACUGUAUACCGUUCCAAAGAAAUUAAUUAAAAAGUUUUAGAAAUAUAAUUCCUAAUAAUAUAACUGUUGCAAAACAAACUUCCAGACGUGUAGAUAUUAAUUGUAUUUAUUUUCAUGAGACCCCGUUGCUGCCGCGUGAAACCCUGCUGAAGGUACGCGUAUUUGUGCAUGCACCUGGAGCGUGCUUCGAACGGUUUCCGGUUCCAGAGAACACAGCUAAGAGCGGGAUCAAGUCGAGAGAAGAGACAGACAGAGACACGCCGAGAGACAAUACGAGAGUCACCCUGACAAGCCACGCCGAGAGGCACGCCGAGAGACAGGCCGAAAGGCAGGCCGACAAGACCGCCGAGAGACACGCCGAGAGGCACGCCGACAAGACCGCCGAGAGACACGCCGAGAGGCACCGACAAGACCGCCGAGAGACACGCCGAGAGGCACUCCGACAAGACCGCCGAGAGACACGCCGAGAGGCACGCCGACAAGACCGCUGAGAGACACGCCGAGAGGCACGCAGUCAGAGACGCGUUUGAGAACCUUCAUUAAUCUCUCCUCAUGUUCCUCCAAAGAGCUAGAGAAUAUUAUGAGAUCGUCGAGGAAAGCAACAACCUCUUGGAGGUUGAUACCUUGCAUCACCUUCUCCAUGGUUCGCUGGAAGGUUGCUGGAGAGUUGGUCAGGCCUUGGGGCAUUCUCCGAAAUUGCCAUGUUCCAAAGGGUGUUGUGAAUGCUGUCUUUGGCCGAUCAGAGGGUUCAACCUCCACCUGAUAGUACCCACUCUUUAAAUCAAGUACAGUGAACCAUUUUGAGCCUGACAGCAGGGAGAAUGUCUCCUCUAUACGGGGUAAUGGGUAGGCAUCUUUUUUAGUCAAGUUGUUCAGUCUGCGGUAAUCCACCACCAUUCGCAGAUCUCCGUUCUUUUUCCGGACAAGAACAACUGGAGAGGCGUAGGGGCUAUGUGAUUCCUCUAUGAUGCCCAUGGCCAAAAGGUCUUGGAGAUGCCUUUUUAAGUCAUUGAAGUCAGCAGGUGAGACACGUCGAGUUCGCUCUUUGAAUGGUACAUGAGGGUCAAGCUCUAUGCGAUGAGUGACUCCUGCAAUGUUACCAACAUCUAGAUCAUGUCUAGAAAACGCAUCUGGCACUUCUUUGUUUAUUCUAGUCUGUAUGUGCUCCCUUACUUCUGGUGUUAUGGGGCUGUCGCUGAAAUCAGGAUAGAAGAUUUCAGCUGCUGAAUGGAUCUUUUCAUUUUGUGACACCGACAGAGCAUGUGUCUGUGGAAGGGCAACAUCUGACUGUUUGUUCUGGUCAAAGUGUGAAACGGGCACUGCCCAGUCAAUGGGAGAGCACUCAGCAAUGACUGUUGUUGGGUAUAAGGUGAUGUCUCGCUGAGAAAUAUUUUUGACACCAAGCUUAAAUUUAUUCUGGGAUUGAGGCUUUACAUCCACUAUCUGGUCGUAGACGAUCAGACCUCCUGGCGUGUGUAUUUCCUCCGUACCACCCACAAGAGCUUGGAACUCACCUUCACCAGGUUUAUUGUGACAGAUGCCCUUUAAAGUACAAAGCUCGCAACGCUUCAAGCGUAUGGGUACUUUGCUGCUGAGCCUUACACGCAGAACUUUGGCGUCUUUUGUUUGGGAGUCAGUCCGGUUGUCACACUCUGCAUAAGCCAUUAGCCAGCUGGCCUGGAUAGGAAGGGUUUCUGGGAACUUAGUUCCGCCUUGCUUAAUGCAGUCUUGGAUCAUUGGACGAAGGACAUUAGUUCCUACAAGCAAAGAAUGCUUGUCAUUGUAUGACUGAUCUGGGCUUACUAAAGCUAGGAUGUGAAAACAUUGGUUUGUGCCACAUUUAUCUUUAGGGAACUGCACAUCCACUUCAACAUAGCCCAAAUAUGGAACCUUUUGUCCCGCUGCACCUUCAAUGUUUAGGGCAUCUUUAAUAGAGAAUAACUGUCGGUGGGAAAGGUAACGGGAAUAAAAUGACUGGGAUAUGAUUGUUACUUGAGACCCUGUGUCAAUUAUGCAAUUGCAUUGGACUCCAUCUAACCAUGCUUCACUAUCACAAGGCUCUCCAACAAGUCCUGCUGGAAUCUGAAUAGUUGCUGAUGCAUUUGAGGGUUCAUGCAUGCACUGGCUCAAAACAGGGGAACUAGUUUGACACUGAGCUCCUGCUUGUCCCACAGCAGGAGCCCUUAACUGUUUAAAGACAGAUUUUGCUGGGGGCUUGUCUGUUGGUAGCUUAGUGGACGUUGGGUUUGUCUAGUUUGGUGUCUCUCACAAAGUUUCUUCUGCACAAGCACAGCAUUAGUUUGGUUUGUGCAUUGCGGCAUCAUAUGUGACUCCUCUCCACAAUUGUAACAAAACCUGCCUGCUCUAAUGAGAUUUUCUGUGGGCACGGCUUGGAGUGGUGGAGCUGUAUAGCUGCCUUUUGCUUUCGGUGAGAACUUUCGUCCUGCUCUAUCAUAUCUGGGGGGAUUGGCAUUUUGAGUAGUGCCACUUUGCUUUAGCUCAGCCUCUAACAGUCUGAUUCUCUCCUCAAGCUGCUCCCUAGUGUUAGCAUCGCACACUGCUAGGACUUUGUUGCUAGGGGGCUCAGACUCAUCAGUAGUUAGGUGUGUCUUAGUAUGAACUUUGGUUGUGCUCCCAGCAGUAUGUCGCUUUUUUCUCAUUUCCUUUAGCUGACUUUCUUUCUCAUAAUUUCUUAUUUUGAACAGCAACUCUGAGAAAGUGGGCGUGCUCUGGGAGGGGUCAUUGAGUUGUUCUUUUAGGUGCAAUGUGGUUAUCAUACUGUCUUCCCAGCAGCCUCUUAGGAACUGCUUUAAAAGUUGAGAAUCACCAUUUUGUUUAGCCACACCUUCAUUUUCAACUACUUCCUGUAACAGAGUUUGGAGUCGACGCAGGUAGUCGGAUGCUUUCUCCCCACUGUCCUGAUGGGUCUCUAAAAACUGAAUAUACAGCUCCUCACCUCCUGUAACGUUACCAUAAGCCUUGUCUAGUUCAUGGAGAUAGUCACUUGGUGGGGCUUGGGCUCCAAUAGAGAAAGCCACAUUUAAAGCAGGGGUAUGAAGGCUAUCAAGAAGCAUACGUCGCUGCUGUGCCUCUGACAGGCUGGAGUCAUUUAUUACUUGCUUAGCUCUAAGCCGCCACACUUUGUAAUCCACCUCUGUGGAAGGUUUAGGAGAGUUUCCAGAGAAUGGACGCAGUUCUCUUGCAGGUGGAAUGAACACCAGGGAGUCGUGUUUUACAAUAUGUUCCACUAUUACUCUCUGAACAUCUGCAGAGAGGGGAUCAACAAGCAGAGUGUCAUUAGGGGCCUGUCUUGGACUGGAUGAAUAGCUAUCAGCACUGAAGACAACCGGUCUUGGAUUAGGGGUAGACUGUGCUUUAAAUGCCGGGGCUUCAAGAGCAGAUGCUGGGGUAGAAGUUACUGGGCCCUUGUCACUAUCCCCUUUUCCAGAAAUAUGAUUCACUGCUACUUGAUUCAAAGUAAUGGGGCUCAUGUUGUAUGUUAGAGCUAACUCAUUUACCUGCUCUCUGAAAUUGACUGUCAUGUCAUGAAUAGCACGAGCAAGAGGCACUACAUCAUCUGUGGGUGGCUCACUGACUGACUUAGGUGGACAGUAUUCAUCUAUCUGCAUAACCUCCCAAUAUGAGUCAUCAGCUGGAUGCUCGCGGUCUAGAAGCAUUGGAGUUAAAGUCUCGCUAAACUGACACAGAAUGGUAUUUGGAAGGCUGUCAAUGUGAUGCACUCCAACAACAUCAUCUAGUAAUGCAAAAACCCUUUUUACAUCUUCCAGUUUAACCUUAGCUGGGACACCCUUAAGCAUAACUGUGCGCUCUGGGUCAAAACCAUACAUGUCACAAAACUCCAUUUUGUUUUCUCAAUUAACCCAACCUUAGAAUUUUCAGAUGAUUAUACUUUAAAGAGUUUUUUUUUUUUUUAAUAUUUAAGAUCAAGUAGACACACUUCAGUCCCUGUUCGGGCGCCAAUUUUCGUCUCUAACCAAUAAACAGAAUUUACUCGGGUUGUGAUAGCAGUUUACUAUCGAUCCAGUUUUAUUUAACAUUUGCUGAACUGAAAUGCAUCUUACUUGAUCACAAUGUAGGUCAGGAACAACAUAAAACAGUAAACCUUAAAUCAUAUGGAAAUGUGAUUCAAUUAGAAUAAGAAAAAAAUAAAACAAUAUAUAUUUCCCUUUUUUAGGCAGUUAACCAAAUACUUAAAUAUCUGAACAACACCUUAUUAUUCAGUACAAAAAUACCUGAAGGACUGUUACUUGUCCUCUUUAAUUAAAUGUCUCUUUCUCAGUCCAUGAAAACAAAAUGAAUACCGAACGGUCUUCUUAUAGAACAUAGAACAAAUCUUGAAGUGUCCUUAUAUUGUCUUUAGCAACAAAAAAAAAAAACAAAUAAAGUAAAGUGCUGGCCAGCAAUAAUAUUAUAGAGCUCUAUAUGUGUGUGGUGGUUUAGUAGUUUGCCUGCAAUCCUCAGUAUAUUCAGAAGAUGACGACGGCUCCUCACGGACUCACGAGCCACAGGAAAGCACUCAGGAAACAGCGGCAGCGUCUCGUCAAUGUUCAUUCACUCGGCGGAGUUCCUUGCAAACGAUCUUCUUGUGGAUAAACGUCGCUGACGGACUUCCGGAUAUUAUCCAAAGAAAACCCAAUACUUUGUACGGUAAGUAUUUCACUCAAAAUACUUUAACAAGUUAAACUCCGAAAUGAAACAGCAGGAGAAUCACAGCUUGACCACACGUUGCUUGCAGGCAUUGAAGAAGAGAUCUACCCGCGAAAACUUCGUCUCCAAGGUAACAAUAACACACACCGUAAAACAGCAGUCAUAAAGCUGCCGCAACAUAAAGUGGUCGUAACCCUUAAAGAGACACACACCAAAAACAGUGAUAAUACAGAAAAGCAUUAACUGACUGAAAAUAUAUCUGGGUUACAAAAGCAUCUCGUUGCAUUUUGCGGUUUUUCAAGGGUGACUGAACUUUACGUUAGCCAUUUUCGGAGUUAACUUUUUUUUCUAUCGACUGUUAGGGCAUUCUGUGUUAAACGGUAGCUAUUGUUAACAAAUUUUACACAAGGUUGAGAGAAAUGAUCCCUUGUAGUUUCUGUGGCCAGUCGCUUCACACAUUAAAGGGUUAUGUACUCCAUUGCAAACUUCACAGAAAUGAACCGUGUUGCUUAUUUAAGUGCAUUGGAGAUGGCUGCAAGCAGACAUUUUGUCGCUAUGGAGCGUUUAAGGCCCAUUUUUACCGGAGGCAUAAUAUAUCUGCUCCUGCCAGAACUGCUUCUUUUACUGUCAACGUUACCCCUUAUGAAUGCGGAAUGGCGCUGUGUGAACGCAAGUUUCAAAAUAAUAAAGAUUUAAUUGCUCAUUUGAAGGAGCAUAUUGUGGAGGGACAUGCCGUGACAUGUCCAGUGACAGGAUGCAUAAGAAUUUUCAAAGUGAAAUCUUCAUUUACUGCCCACAUGUCACGGAAACACAAUUUUUUUUCAGACAGUACCAUCAGUAAUUUAAAUACAGAGUCUCAGUCAUCAUCUGCUAAAAAUGAAUCGGAUGACAAUUGCCCUCAGGUAUUUGAGGCAGGUGCAGACAUUGGCACAGAUCCUUGUGACACGGAUGUCUCAGAAAAUUUCUGUGAUCUUUUUCUUAGAAACGUCAGUUUAUUCUACUUGAAAUUGCAGGGGCAGUUUCUAUUACCUGUUUCCACUAUACAGAACAUUGUUGAGGAGAUGCAAAACAUCCAUGAGUUGGGUCAGGGAUAUAUUUUGAGAAAACUCACUUCACUGCUUAAAAAUGACACAAUGUUAUCAGAUGAAGACAUCACCAAAGUUUGUGAGUCUGUCAGGGGUUCUGAUCUUUUCUCUGCUUGUCAUACAGGGCCAAUGAGGAUGGCAUACUCGCAUGCCCAGUCUCUCAAAAAUAAAUUCAACUAUGUGGAGCCUAAGAAAAUGCUUUUAGGAAGAGAUGAGAACAGGACAGAUAGGUUUGCCUAUUAUGUGCCUGUGAGAGAAACUUUGAAAUGUUUGCUAGAAUCUGAUCUGUGCCAGAUAUGUUUAUCAGGACAGCCAUCAAGUGAGCCUUCCUCAGAUAUUCUAGGUGACAUCAGUGAUGGUCAGAUAUUUAAAUCCAAUGACUUUUUUGUUCAAAAUCCAUCAAGUCUCAAGCUAGUACUAUACCAGGAUGUCUUUGAAGUUGUAAACCCGUUAGGCUCUGCAAAGACACGGCAUAAAGUAUUAGCUGUUUAUGUAUCUGUUGCUAACCUUCCUCUUCAUGUCCGUUCAGACACAGACCACAUGGCACUGAUUUUAUUGUGCAGAGAGAAAGAUUUCAAAGCAUUUGGACAUGCAAAGGUGUUCUCUGAAUUAUUAGAAGACUUGAAGGAAUUGGAGGAGAAUAGAAUUGUAGUUUCAAAUGGAACAGUUGUCAAAGGAAGCAUUGCUGGAGAUAAUGUAGGCUCACAUUGCAUCGGUGGCUUCACUGAGAAUUUCAGUUGCGCACAAUAUUUCUGCAGGUAGUGCCUAAUAACGCGAGCUGAAUUUCAGGGUGAUGAUCCAAAUCUCUGCGGACCAGAGAGGACCAUAGACCGCUACAAUUCUGCUGUUGAUCGCCUCCAGACUGAAGAUACACCAAUUGUAGAAGGAGUAAAGUUCAACUCGGUAUUCAAUUCUUUAAAAUACUUUAACAUCUGUCAGCCAGGUUUGCCGCCUUGUCUAGGACAUGACAUCUUUGAGGGAGUUUUGUCCUAUGAUGUGGCACUGUAUCUUAAAUAUUUCAUAAAGAAGAAGGCAUGGUUCACUUACUCCACUCUCAAUCGGCCCAUUAAACAGUUCAAAUACUGCGCCUCUGAUGCUUCGACAAAGCCAAGUGAGGUCAGCCCUUCAGCAUAUAAACUCUCAGGACAGGCCAUACAGAGCUGGAACUUUUUAAGGCUGCUGCCUCUCAUUAUAGGUGACAGAGUGAGAGAUACAACAGAUCUAAUUAGUGCGGCAGGACGUUACUUGUUCUAUUUUAUGACACAUGGAGCUUCUUUUUCCAGCUUCUCCUUCCUCUUCUCCAUCCCUAUCCCCCUUCCCCGGAAUCCCUUUGCUUUAUCACCCGCAGAUCCAGGGCCUCUGUGGCCGCACCAUGGAUUACGGUUUGUGGAUCGCGCACCGGGGGUCGCGGUGUUGGAUCCAGUGUGGCGGAUUCUGAGUCAUGUGGGCUGAUCGUGGUGCUGGUGGCGGACCCUGUGUCGCGUUGGCAUUGGGCACGGGCGGUGGACCAGGACCGCGGUGGUGGCUUGUGAUGGGCCCUCCUGGUGGGCGGCGAUGGACGGUGACUGAGGACUGGAGUGGCGUCUGGUCUGGAUGGUGGAUCGUGGUCUAGAUGGUUGCUGAGCAUGGACUGUGCUUGCAGCGGGACUGCUUGGCAUGUCAUGUUGGGGUUGUCCUUCGGGAUGUCUACCCUCAUCAAUGCUGCUAGAGACUUUGAUUAUUGAUGAUGUUGUCCUGCACGUGGCAUCUAUUGCACUUCUGUCCGUCCUGGGAGAGGGAUCCCUCACAUGUGGCUCUCUCUGAGGUUUCUACAUAUUUUUACCCUGUUAAAAGGGUUUUUUGUAGUUUUUCCUUACUCUUGCUGAGGGUUAAGGACAGAGGAUGUCACACCCUGUUAAAGCCCUAUGAGAUGAAUUGUAAUUUGUGAAUAUGGUCUAUACAAAUAACAUUUUUUAAUUGAUUGAUUGAUUGAUGAAUUUGAAGAAUUUCAAGAAUCUCUGCUUUACUCUCUCUGAAAGGCAUCAAAUGAUGCAGGCUUAUCUAUCAGCAGGGCCAUUCGGUCAAAUUGUAUUUCAAGUUAAAGGUGGUCGUCCAUUUUACCCGGUGCUGUACAGUAAAGCCAUUCAAGAUGCAGUCAUACCAUUUAGCUGCACUGAGACUAACACAAAGGUCACAACAGAAGUGCUGUACAUGGGGACAGCCUACAAGAAAGGACAAUUCCUUGUCACAGGUAGAAUGGACUCUGUGGAGUUUGGUGAACUAGUGCUUAUUUUGGUAAAAAAUGACAUGGUUCAUGUUUUGGUGUCAAAGCACGUAGCAGAAUUCCUUCCCAAAUACCAUCUUUACACAGUUCGAAAAGACCAUGAUAAGAUGCAGUCUCUGAAACUUAAUGACUUGAUUGAUUUCUAUCCAUUGCCAUCUUAUAUGAAGGAUGGAUAUCAAAUUAAUCCAUUGAAGCACAGUGUGUUGUCACUCUAAUGAAUGUCUUGGGCUGUCAUUCUGGUGUUAAUUGAGCUCACUUGGAACUUGGGAGUGAUCUUCCAUCCUGAUUUUUCCUUUAACACGCAUGUUAAAUCCCUAUGGGAAAAAUUUUAAGUUGUGAAUAUGGGCUAUACAAUUUGUUUGAUUGACUUGAUUGUUUCAUAGAAAUCUGAAAUGGAUGAUGCAGAGCAAAAUAUCUUCAGCAGUGCCGUUAUGAAGGAUUUGCCAGACCUCCCAGGCUCAUGUCUACAAAUUCUGGAGGAGACACUACAACAGUUGGGGGCAGAGACCACUGAGGAUUUGUCUUUUAUACAGGAAGCUGAUCUUCUUUCUGUACUAAGACCAAUUCAAGCCAGAAAAUUGGUGGCAGCCUGGAAACAGACAAUUAAAUCUAUUUUGCCAAAAUGUAAUUUAGUAGAGAAAGAUCAUUCUAUACAUGUUGUUAUUGUAAUUAUUUUUGUUAUAAAGGACAGAGCACCGAGUUUUGCAACGAGCCAGUGUUGACCUCUCCAGCUUCCUCAUCACGCUCGUCACUCUCUCCUUCCCCCUCACCCAGUCACUCAUUUACAGUUGCUGAUUGGGUUGACAGCUUCCCAAUUCCAUGGGAGAAGCUUCCUGAAGCCUUGAUGCAGUGUCUGAUGAGGGAGAAGAGGCCAAGCCCACGGUUACGGAGAGAAAUGGUCCGUAUUGUUGUCUCUGAAAUGAUGAAAGCCUCCACUUCUCCAAGUAAACAAGCGUCAACAGAAGUUGCCAAGAAAAUGGUUGCCAAAUAUCCACGAUCACUACAAGAUAUUAUCGAAGGUGAUGUGGUGGGAGCAGGUUAUCACUCACUGGUCAAGCAGUUCCAAGCACGCAUCGAAAAUGUUAAGCGUUUCUCCUCACAAAGGUUAAGGAAGCGUAAACAGGGGUCAGAUGAGUACGACACAGAGGAAAUCCCAGCUGAACAAAAGGCAGCUACUCAGGACACUUAUGGCUGCAUAAAAUGGGACAUGAAAUUCAUGCCAGUGAGUGAGACCACCAAGAGCCUACAGGAGAAGAGUAUGAAGGUGCUCAGGGAACAGACGAACUUCAUCCAAGCGCUAGUAGAAACCCUUAUGAAGAGCACCUACUACUCCCAACGUAAAGACAUUAACAACGGACAAGAUCUGCGUUCUCUUUUGGAGGAAUGGCCAUUCACUUUCAAGAGCUCACUGGAGUGUCAUUGAGAGAGGUUUUUAUUGGCAGUUUAGAAAAGAAGGGAAAACUGCUUCUGGACUUUAUGAGAACCAUUUGUGCUGGCAAGUGCAAGCGGGUUUUGGUGGCGGUCACAAGGCUUGAAAUCAUGAGAGGACAGUUAAUGGGAUGCUCGGAAGAUUUGAAGGAUGUGGUGCUCCUCCUUCUAGCCUAUUUUGGUGAAAAAGAGGAAAACCUCUUCCACUACGUGGAAGAAACAUGUCUGGCAGGAGAAGUUCAACUAGAACGCUUGCCCGUGACACCAUGCAUAAUUGUAUGUGGAACCUCCUGCUAUACCUCAAGGCAGUUCAUGCUCAGUGUAGACCGCGUAGUUGUGAAUGACCAAAUCCCGACAUUCAUAACUGCCAUCUUAUUGAUGUUUGGAAGCUAUUAUUGUCUGAACAUACACUAUCCGGUGGAUCUGGCCUCUACACUUGAGUUCCUUUAAAGGUGUUUCUUCCUCAUCAACCCAGAGAAGGGCACGAAGGUUGAAACAAAGAAGUCAAGGAAGCAACUUUCGGUCAACCCAAGAGUCCUUACCCUCCUCUCAGAUCUCUCUGAUCAUGAGGGGCGAGACAUAGUUUAAAGAGACUUUCAAGUGAACUGUUCAGCUACAGUAUCUGUAUGGAACAUUAUGCACUUUACUGUACCUUAAUUGUUAUCCAGUGUUAUUCAGAAUAGUGUUUUUAUAUGUUUACAGUCGUUCUGAGUGCUUGAACAAGCCUGGUUGGUUUGGUUCAUAUAAAUGUAUGUGACCCGGCUUAUUGUACUGUCAAGGACAGAGCAAUAUGUUACAUUGAGGAAGGAUUCCUACAUGUCCUUUUGAUUUAUUUUUUUGUUGUUGCCAGAAACAACUUUCAAGAUGUUAAGGUUCCUACUGUGUUUUAAUAAGUAGGGUUGGUUUGUUUCUUUUAAAGUAAUGUAAACUGGCGUAUUGCACAUUUUAUUGGAAUGAAUAAUUCCUAGUUAUUACUUGAACAAUAAGGUCAAGGCAACAACUGGGUUUAUCUUUGUUUUUUACAGGCUGCUCUUUUGUUUUUUGUAAAAUACUUUGUGUGGAAGACAGGCUUAUUAUAUAUAUAUAUAUAUAUAUAUAUAUAUAUAUAUAUAUAUAUAUAUAUAUAUAUAAUAUAUUUUGCCAAUAGCAGCUUUUCAGGGUAUUAUGUCAAUCCAGUCAAGUUAAUGAAACUGUGAAGAACAUCUAAGCUUUGUUUGAGUGCUUUUGAGACACUUUACAGUAGGUGAAGGGCUUCUGAAAUUGUUCAGUUCUUUGGAUCUUCUUUGAGGUAAGUAAACUUAACUACUCUAACAUAUGAAGAGUAAAUAAUUGUAAUAAUUUGUACCCACUGACCUUGUAUAUAUUGUCAUGUCAAAGAUAUUAAGAGUUUCACUCCUGCCACCUUUCAGACAUUGUAUUAAAACUCCUGAGUGGUGUGAGGGAACAACAUGCUGGCUUUUGGGACACCAAGGAAAUGGUCGUAUUACCUCUACCAUUGGUUCUACUUCAUUUGGACCUAAGCAACCUCUGAGCUGUUCCACCAGUCCACGCCUCUGAUCAAAUACCAGAUUUAUCAAGGAUAAACAGUGUGAUGAUGUAAAGACUUAAUAAAAAGUUUCCUGAACAUCAUACCAUGUCUGUAUGUGACUGUACAACCUGCUGUCAUGUCUGGACCCAAUGACAAGGACACCAGUCUUAUCGAGCCUAAUUAGAGUCCAAAUUCUUUUUGUGGCUGUGAGUCUAUAGGUUGUCUAUAUGUAGAGCGUGGGAGAGCGUGGCCUAAGGGAUAGAGCGGGUGUUCUGCAACAAGAAGGUUGCCGGUUUGAAUCCCUCUCUUUCCCAUCUGCAUGCCUAAGUGCCCUUGGCAACGUACUGAACCCCUAAAAUGGCCCCUCAUAAAUGCUGAGUGUUCUAAAAAUAGAGGAUAUUGCCAGUGAACACCUGAUGGACAACAUGUCAAUCAUCAAGCAGAACUGGUGACAACAAAUACUUCAAGUUCCAAAAUCUUGGACACUCUAUCCCAUGUUGAGCCCCCUCUUCAGUCAGAUCUGGCCUCAGCGAAUCAUUACUCCUGAUUAACCAUGGGCAAGUGACAAUUUUUUCAUAAUGUUUAUUCAGUCCACCAUGGAUUGUCCUUCAUGUAUAUGGGCACACACGUUUUUUCUUUGAAGAGAACACUUCUUUGAGAAUUUAAUGAACAAAGUAUUGAAUCAGUUAAAUCAGUUUUUCAAAGAUAAUAUGUGAAUGCACAGUUUCUGUCCCUUGGUUUACAGUGGCGCUGUAUUUGUAAUGCAAUUUGUACUGUAUU